GCCAUUUGUCAUUAUUAUUUAUUAGUGAUAUUAUUUUAAUUUGAAUGGGUAGACGUAUCGUCCAUCGGUAAAACGGAAUAUCUUAACUCAAUUAAUCAUAUUAUCGAUUAGGUCAUAACGUGUGAAUAUUCAGAUUAUUCAGAAUCGAAACGGUAUUCAAUGUUUUCAACAGGGUAAUGCGAUUAUUAUACUAAUAAAUAAUAAUCAUCUCUGUCCAAACGCAGUGGGUAUCCGUUUAUCAUACCUAAACACAAUAUAUUAGGUAUAGGUAUUAUUACGACGUAUCCUAUCAUUUUAUCAUCAUUGCCAUUUGUCACCAUACAAACAUUUCAACCGAAAUAGUCUAUACCGGCAAUGUGUUAUUAUUAAUUAUAACAUACAUUGUACUACAGCAAAUAAAAUUGAAAUAUUACUAUUUUUAAACAGAGCAUCAUCAGAAGUAUUCGCGUUCAUCAUUAACGACAAUUAUCCAUAAAACGGUUCUACGGACUUCCGCAGAAAUCCAUGUCAGAAGUGAGUGGUUAUUUUAUUUUUUAUUAUAUCCGCAAUAUUGUCCAGGAUAGUUAUUUAAGUUAUCGAAAAAAAAAAAAAAAAAAAAACAUCAAUAUUUUAUACAAUAUGUCCUCGGCUUCCAACCCCUACGGUUUUCCCCCCAAAUUAUAAUAAUCAUAUUGUGUAUAUUACCAAGUAUUAGGGACAGUAAUUUUUUACUAUUUAAUAAUUAAACUAGUUUUUUUUCGUGUAAAACCAACGCAACCAGAAAUCAAUAAAAUAACCCACAAUUCAAGUAUGAUGAACAGUGAAUACCACAUCAGAUAAAAUUUGAAUUUCUUUUAAAUUUAAUUUCAGUGUCUAUCAUAAAGACAUUUAUUUACAUUUGUUUGCCUCAGUUCAUAUUAUCACUAAAUUAUUUUGUAUUUAUG